rnacentral:rRNA from 1 species
AAACAUGUCUUUAUGUCUAUUAUUAUAAAGUCUAGCCUGCCCACUGAUAAUUAAUUAAAUGGCCGCGGUAAUUUGACCGUGCGAAGGUAGCAUAAUCACUUGUCUUUUAAUUGGAGGCUAGUAUGAACGGUUGGAUGAGGGGUCACUUGUCUUUAAAUUAUAAUUAAAAUUUUACCUUUAAGUGAAAAGGCUUAAAUCUUAUUAAGUGAAGAUAAGACCCUAUAAAACUUUAUAUAAACCUGAAUUAUAUUUAUUUAAUAUGUUUAAAAUGAAACAAUUUAUAUUAUAUUUUGUUGGGGCGACAAGAAUAGAACUGUAUCUGUUACUUUGUAAUAAGUUAAUAAUAAUUAGAAAGUGAGCCUUUUGUAUGGAUCAAAAGAUUAAGUUACUUUAGGGAUAACAGCGUAAUUUUCUUUGAGAGAUCUAAUCGACAAGAGUAGUUGCGACCUCGAUGUUGAAUUAAAAUUUUUUCCCAAGUGCAGUAGCUUGGAUAGUAAGUCUGUUCGACUUUUAAAAUUUUACAUGAUUUGAGUUCAAACCGGUGCGAGCCAGGUU